ACGCCCCAAUUUUCGGGAAUUCUGUGAAUGUUGGCAUAGGUUUAAUUAUGUUAGUGGGCCUCUAGAAGGCCCAAGCUUAAGAUAGAACCCGGCAAUUUUAGUUAAUUUUUUUGUUCCAUAAGAAAAAGGGGGUGAAAUUAUGAAAUAGGACCUAUGUGAAAAUGUUUGAAAAUGCUAUAGGCUAAAUUGAAGUGGCCAAAUAAAUAAGAGUGCAAAAUAAGAGGAUUUGCAUGACAAACCUCCCAUUUUACAUGAAGUGGCCAGCCAUCAUGUUGUUGUAGACAAAAUGUGCACUUGAUAUCCAUAAUUUAUGGUACAAAUUGAUACAAAUUGAUAAUGAGUUAGGUAAAUGUUCCAUGAUAAUGGGUUAGGUAAAUGUUUCAUGAUAAUGGGUUAGGUAAAUGUUCCAUGAUAAUGGGUUAGGUAAAUGUUCCAUGAUGGGAAUUU
rnacentral:lncRNA from 1 species